CUGCAAUGAUGUUGUUAUUCUUAGGAGACCUUCAGAUUUAUAGAUGAAAAGAAAUAAAGAAUUCUGAGCAGC
ensembl:snoRNA SNORD58 Small nucleolar RNA SNORD58